rnacentral:rRNA from 1 species
AACGAACGCUGGCGGCAGGCCUAACACAUGCAAGUCGAGCGCCCUGCAAGGGGAGCGGCGGACGGGUGAGUAACGCGUGGGAAUUUUUCCUGGAGUACGGAACAACCGAGGGAAACUUCGGCUAAUACCGUAUGAUGCCGAGAGGCCAAAGAUUUAUCGCUCUGGGGUGAGCCCGCGUCAGAUUAGGUAGUUGGUGGGGUAAAGGCCUACCAAGCCUGCGAUCUGUAGCUGGUCUGAGAGGACGAUCAGCCACACUGGGACUGAGACACGGCCCAGACUCCUACGGGAGGCAGCAGUGGGGAAUCUUGCGCAAUGGGCGAAAGCCUGACGCAGCCAUGCCGCGUGAGUGAAGAAGGUCUUAGGAUUGUAAAGCUCUUUCGCUCGUGACGAUGAUGACGGUAACGAGAGAAGAAAGCCCCCGGCUAACUUCGUGCCAGCCGCCGCGGUAA